rnacentral:rRNA from 1 species
UACGUAGGGGGCAAGCGUUGCUCGGAAUUACUGGGCGUAAAGGGUUCGUAGGCGGUCGGGCAAGUCGGCGGUGAAAUCUCUCGGCUUAACCGAGAGGGGUCCGCCGAAACUACCUGACUCGAGGGCCGGAGAGGGGAGUGGAAUACCUGGUGUAGCGGUGAAAUGCGUAGAUAUCAGGUGGAACACCGGAGGCGAAGGCGGCUCCCUGGACGGUACCUGACGCUGAGGAACGAAAGCUGGGGGAGCAAAC